rnacentral:pre_miRNA from 1 species
GGUUUUCGUGAUCUUCCACAGUUUUCUUGAACUGCAUGUGUGUUGUGAGGCUUCUCCAGUGAAGGUUUAUCUCCUAUGCAAGUGCAGAUAUUCUAUGAGCACAAUUCAAGAUAGCUGUGGAAAAUCACUGAGAU